AUGCUUUUAGCUCAGUGGUCGAGCGUUGGCUUUGGAAGCCACAGGUCGGUGGUUCGAGCCCACCAGGGCACA
rnacentral:tRNA from 2 species